GACGAACGCUGGCGGCGUGCCUAAUACAUGCAAGUCGAACGCAGUGGGGACGGGUGAGUAACACGUGGGUAACCUCCCAUCAGAGGGGAUAACACUUGGAAACAGGUGCUAAACCGAUACUGAUGGAUGGACCCGCGGUGCAUUAGCUAGUUGGUGAGGUAACGGCUCACCAAGGCCACGAUGCAUAACCGGACUGGGAGGGUGGACCGCCAAAAUGGAGAAGAGGAACGGCCCAGACUCCUACGGGAGGCAGCAGGGGGGAAUCUUCGGCAAUGGACGAAAGUCUGACCGAGCAACGCCGCGUGAGUGAAGAAGGUUUUCGGAUCGUAAAACUCUGUUGUUAGAGAAGCGGUAUCUAACCAGAAAGCCACGGCUAACUACGUGCCAGCAGCCGCGGUAAUAC
rnacentral:rRNA from 1 species